CAGUUGGUUAGAGCGCGCGCUUGAUAAGCGUGAGGUCGGAAGUUCAAGUCUUCCCAGGCCCACCACUUGAUCGAGCGCAUGUGUCUCUCUUGAGAUUGGCCUGUAGCAUUCGUCUUCUGGUUACGGGGCCAUAGCUCAGCUGGGAGAGCGCGUGCUUUGCAAGCAUGAGGUCGUCGGUUCGAUCCCGUCUGGCUCCACCAGAUGAAGUCGAAGAUCGACGCUGCAUGCUGCCGUGAUCGUCAUUCGUCCGCGAAACAUCAAUUCGCACGCGUUAUCCGCAAUCGGAUGCGCUGUGCGUGUUUUCUGACAUCGUAAAGAGGAGAUCGAUCCGAGUUGGGUCGCAUGGAAAUUCUAUGCGCAUCCUUCACUAUCUCCGGAUCAUUUCGGCGCUCGCGCCUUUUGCAGAUUAACGUCUGCAAGAUGUGCGGGUUGUAAAUGAUCCUGUUAGCGAAGCCUGACCGCCUCGCUAUCGGUUCGAUCUUACGAAGCAAGCUGGUCUUUCUAAUCAGUGUCCGCUGCACGAGCUCUCCUGGUGAAGGUUCGUGUGGAAUACAUUCUGCCGAGUGUGUGGACAUUGAUAAUGAGAGCAAUCAAGUGCCUUAAGGGUGUUCGGUGGAUGCCUUGGCGCUGAGAGGCGAUGAAGGACGUGCUACGCUGCGAUAAGCCGUGGGGAGCUGCGAAGAAGC
rnacentral:misc_RNA from 1 species